rnacentral:RNase_P_RNA from 1 species
UGGGGCAGCUGGACGAUCGCGUGUUGUGCGAACAACCCGAGGAACGUCCGGGCUCCGUAGAGCAAGGUGGUGGGUAACGCCCACUCGGGGCAACCCGCAGGCCAGUGCCACAGAAAACAGACCGCCUCUGCUUGCAGAGGUAAGGGUGAAACGGCGGUGUAAGAGACCACCGCUUUCCAGGUGACUGGAAAGGCAAGGUAACCCCCACAUGGAGCAAGGCCAGACAG